rnacentral:ncRNA from 2 species
ACAAACUACUAGGGGUGCCUAAAAAGGCUGAGAAGAAAAUAAUGCAACUUUCUAACUCUUAAUAACCUGAUCUGGUUCAUACCAGCGUAGGGAAGUAGUAAAUCAACACU